rnacentral:lncRNA from 1 species
GGAUAUUCACACACUGAUGAAAAACUGCUUAGGGGCCUGGAGCAGAAAAAAAAAACACUGAGCAUUUUCAGUUUAGCUUAUUAGCUUGUGAAGAAGUAACCACAUUUCAACAUUUGGUCACUUACAGUUAUUGGCUUAAAGAGGAAUUGGAGGCUACUUCAGAGUAGUUCUGCAUGUCACUGUGGAGUAAAUGGUGAAUAUUACAUUAUACCCCAUAUUUUAUAUUUUCCUCACUGCAAAACAUGAGGGAAAAAAAACAAAAAAGUAGCUGUGAAGAUGAUAAGGCUGCAAGAGAUGGAGCCAGGUGGAAGGAAAAAGAAAAAUGAACACUUUUCUCUGAGCCUCAUUGCUGGAUGCAGUGGUUUAAUUAUUUUUAGGACAAAAACCCAAGUGUUUCUAGUAGACAAGAAAAGGUAAGAUAGCAGCUAUUACUAUGUACCUAGUCAAUGUCACUCUUCCACUACACAGUGGACACCUACAUUCUUUCACUGUUGCUUCGAG